rnacentral:rRNA from 1 species
AGCGAACGCUGGCGGCAGGCUUAACACAUGCAAGUCGAACGCGCACUUCGGUGUCAGUGGCAGACGGGUGAGUAACACGUGGGAACGUACCUUUUGGUUCGGAACAACUGAGGGAAACUUCAGCUAAUACCGGAUAAGCCCUUACGGGGAAAGAUUUAUCGCCGAAAGAUCGGCCCGCGUCUGAUUAGCUAGUUGGUAGGGUAAUGGCCUGCCAAGGCGACGAUCAGUAGCUGGUCUGAGAGGAUGAUCAGCCACAUUGGGACUGAGACACGGCCCAAACUCCUACGGGAGGCAGCAGUGGGGAAUAUUGGACAAUGGGGGCAACCCUGAUCCAGCCAUGCCGCGUGAGUGAUGAAGGCCCUAGGGUUGUAAAGCUCUUUUGUGCGGGAAGAUAAUGACGGUACCGCAAGAAUAAGCCCCGGCUAACUUCGUGCCAGCCGCCGCCGUAA